GCCAGGUGCGGUGGCUCAUGCCUGUAAUCCCAGCACUUUGGGAGGCCGAGGUGGGCGGAUCACUUUAGGUUCGGAAUUCAAGUCCAGCCUGACCAACAUGAUGAAACCCUGUCUCUACUAAAAAUACAAAAAUCAGCUGGCACGCGCCGCCACACCCAGCUAAUGUUUGUAUUUUUAGUAGAGACGGGGUUUCACCACAUUGGCCAAGAUGGUCUCCAUCUCCUGACCUCGUGAUCCACCCACCGCGCCCUCCCAAAAUGCUAGGAUUACAGGCGUGAGCCACCGCGCCGAGCCUGCAAAAGCCUAAACUCUUUUUUGUGGCAUUACUUGUUACAUGGUUUCUACAUCUGCGUUUGCCUUUUUGUAAGUUCUCUGAUCCCAAACUGUUUAUAUUCUGUGGGACUGUGUAUAGAGUGAUACUUAAUAAACAGCAGUUUUAGUUUUUUGGUUUUUAUGAGAUAGGCUCUUACCAUGUGGCCCAAGUAGUGUCAAACUCCUGAGGUCAAGUGAUCCUCCCUACUUAGUCUCCUCAGAGACUACAGUCAUGCACUGCCCAGC
rnacentral:lncRNA from 1 species